CUCUAGUAACGGCGAGUGAAGCAGGAAGAGCCCAGCACCGAAUCCUCUCUGCCCUAGCGUGGAGCGGGACAUGUGGUGUGAGGGGGGCGAGCAGCGCUUGCGCGGUCGUCUUGGCGCCCAGGUCCUCGUGAUCGUGGCUUUUCGCCCCAUCGAGGGUGUAAGGCCCUUCGCGGCGCCAGACUCGCGUAGCCCGCUAGCUCCCUCGGAGUCGGGUUGCUUGAGAUCGCAGCCCAAAGUGGGUGGUAAACUCCAUCUAAGGCUAAAUACUGGACACGAGUCCGAUAGUAGACAAGUACCGCGAGGGAAAGUUGAAAAGAACUUUGAAGAGAGAGUUCAAUAGUACGUGAAACCGCACAGAGUCAAACGGGUGGAGCCGCAAUGUCGCUCGUCCCGGGGCAUUCAGCCCGCUGUUCUCGACACCGCGCCUCCCCGGCGUGGCGUCCCCGCUCGCGGGGGUGCCUAUCCCGGGGUCGCUCGAAUCGGUGGCCGAGACGGGUGCACUUGCUCCGGUCGUCGAGAGCCACGACCGGUUCCUUCGCAGGCAGUGUGGACUCCCUGGUCGGGAUAACGGCCGCUGUUCGAGGCUCCCUUCGGGUUGCUUCGCUCGGUGGCUCCGACUGGGAGGGAAACUGGCCUGGGGACCGAGGACUGCACAUCUGGUCGGCGUCUCCGUUACUCUCGAGCCGUGCGCCCCUGGUGCCCCCUCGCGGGGUGCCAACACGGGCGCGAGGACGCAUCGGGAGAGAGCGGAAGGCGUUCGGGCCUGUCACGGUGCUCGUCGGUGGCGGAUUAGGUCGGUACUCCACCCGACCCGUCUUGAAACACGGACCAAGGAGUCCAGCAUGUGCGCGAGUCGAUGGGCGUUGUCGAAACCCUACGGCGCAAUGAAAGUGAAGGCCCUUCCCUCGCGGAGGCCUAGGCAGGAUCCCGCCCGUUCUCGGGUGUGCGCACUGUCGGCCCGUCUCGAUCGCCUUUGACAAUAGGGCGGAGCAAGAGCGCACACGCUGGGACACGAAAGAUAGUGAACUAUGCUUGAGCAGGACAAAAUCACGGGAAACUCUGAUGGAGGUCCGCACCGAUUCUGACAUGCAAAUCUAUCGUCAAACUUGAGUAUAGGGGCGAAAGACUAAUCUAACCAU
rnacentral:rRNA from 1 species